AGGGGAUUAGUUUAAUGGUAGAACAGCGGUCUCCAAAACCGUCGGUGUGGGUUCGACUCCUACAUCCCCUGCCA
rnacentral:tRNA from 1 species